UAGUUGUUAAGCUACAAAAACGUUGGAAAACCGUAAGAGAUGCCUUCACUCGUUGUCGUGCUAAAGGAAAAACUUUGAAAAGCGGAUCAGCAGCUAAAAAAGCACCGAAGCAAAUUUUACUGAGGCCACUCCACAAUCAGAUGACCAAAACAGUAACCAAGAAAAUGAUGACCAUUCAGAUAAAGAAAUCGAUGAUGGGAAAGUCCAAGCUGAACGAGUGAAACCACUUUUUGAGAGAAAAAGGGCUCCAAAAAGAAAUGCAUUAGAAGAAUAUCUGGUUAAAUUAAAAAAAAAACUGAAGAGCCUAUGGGUGAUGAUAAGACAAAUCAUUUUUGAACUCAUUAUUACCGACUCUUUGGAACUUCAAUUAGGAUCAAAAACUGCAAUUUCGAAUUGAAGUAUUGAAUUUAUUGGUUAAAAUUUUAAAAAAAUCCCAGUACAACCUGCAGCAAUAAUUACACAGGAACCCUAUCCUCCAAACAAUAUUUAUUAUUGUCAACCUACGUCACCUACGUCAUCUGCAUCAAGUGGAUUUACUUCAAUACCAACGAUUUUCCCUGGGGCAUACGACAUUAUAUCGUCGCCACAAUCAAAUACGUCUACUUCAAGCCAACCACCUGACCAGUAUAUGAACAUUCCUGCCUACACUCAGUUGCCAUAAUGUAAAAUUAUAUAUCGCAAUAAAUAAUAUUCAAUAAC